rnacentral:rRNA from 1 species
GAAUGAGUCUUACCGAGUUUACACUCCCAAACCCAAUGUGAACGUUACCAAACUGUUGCCUCGGCGGGGUCACGCCCCGGGUGCGUCGCAGCCCCGGAACCAGGCGCCCGCCGGAGGAACCAACCAAACUCUUUCUGUAGUCCCCUCGCGGACGUAUUUCUUACAGCUCUGAGCAAAAAUUCAAAAUGAAUCAAAACUUUCAACAACGGAUCUCUUGGUUCUGGCAUCGAUGAAGAACGCAGCGAAAUGCGAUAAGUAAUGUGAAUUGCAGAAUUCAGUGAAUCAUCGAAUCUUUGAACGCACAUUGCGCCCGCCAGUAUUCUGGCGGGCAUGCCUGUCCGAGCGUCAUUUCAACCCUCGAACCCCUCCGGGGGAUCGGCGUUGGGGAUCGGGACCCCUCACACGGGUGCCGGCCCCGAAAUACAGUGGCGGUCUCGCCGCAGCCUCUCCUGCGCAGUAGUUUGCACAACUCGCACCGGGAGCGCGGCGCGUCCACGUCCGUAAAACACCCAACUUUCUGAAAUGUUGACCUCGGAUCAGGUAGGAAUACCCGCUGAACUUAAGCAUAUCAAAUAAAGCAGGAGGAA